GCGUCUAUAGCUCAAUUGGUGAGAGCACCAAGCUUAUACCUUGGGGGUUCUAGGUUCGAGUCCUAGUAGACGCA
rnacentral:tRNA from 1 species